UACGUAGGGGGCAAGCGUUGUCCGGAAUCAUUGGGCGUAAAGAGCGUGUAGGCGGCUCGAUAAGUCUGCUGUGAAAGUCCAGGGCUCAACCCUGGAAGGCCGGUGGAAACUGUCGGGCUAGAGUCCGGAAGAGGCGAGUGGAAUUCCCGGUGUAGCGGUGAAAUGCGCAGAUAUCAGGAGGAACACCAAUGGCGAAGGCAGCUCGCUGGGACGGUACUGACGCUGAGGCGCGAAAGCGUGGGGAGCAAACAGG
rnacentral:rRNA from 1 species